rnacentral:lncRNA from 1 species
CCGUGCCUCAGUUUCCCCGCAGCGCUGCCCGGGCAGGGCUGGGCUGGGUUCCCCGCUGAUGCCGCUCUCGCUGCCCGCAGGGACGGCGCUGAGCACCACAUGAGUGCGGCAGCAGCAUGGCCAGCGACGCGAGGAUGGGGGAGAGCCCGGCGCGCUGGAGAAGAGCGGCGGAGGCAGCGCAGGACUCGCGGGGGAUGGAGAGCAGCGCCAUGCUUCUAUCCCGGAGCGCCGGGGCCGAGCUGGGACUCCCGGCCUACCCAGAGCCCGGCAAGCUGAGCUACACCCUGGAGAAAGGCUGGAGGAGCUCCGAGGGGUGUUUGGGAGCCGGUGCCCACCUGGGCUGCCCCUACCCCCGGGGCGCCAAGGACGGAGCGGAGCUGCCCCCGCUGCUGCCCCCUCGGAACGGGCAGCCCAAGGGGGGCUGGGGGGAGCCCUGCAAGGAGCCGCGCUGGGCCGAGGCCGUGCUGGCCCCGCUGGCGCUCUACAGCCACUCGUACCACCGCUACCACCCCCUGGCAGUGCCCGGCAAACCCCGCGAUGCGGCCGGAGAGCCCCCGGCCCCCUUCCAGCACUGCCCUUUCCUCGUGGAGGCCAAGCACAGCCCCUUCCUGCUCUCCUCGCUGCUGCCCGGCGCGCCCCAGGCCGAGCCCGCGUUCGAGGGGCCGGGCCCGGUGGGGAACGGGCGCUUCGCCGGCCCGGAGUGGAGUCUGGGCUCCUACGGGCCCGCCUGGGGCCAGCCCCUCUACCUGGGGGUCCCGCCGCGGUGCAAGGCGGCUCUGCCCCCCUUCGACGGCUGCUCCAGCUCAGGGAACAAGGAGUUUUACGCCAAGAAAGGCGCCGGGUUCCACGCCUCGAGCAAGAACCACGCGGCGCCGCCGCUGCUGGGCAGGAGCCAAGCGGGGCCGGAGCGGGCCGGGCAGGGGGAGCCGGCGCUGCCGGAGCUGCCGGGAGCCCCGUGGGGGGAUGGCCGGGCCGGGGGCAGCUCGGCGGUGCCCCCUCCCCAUCCCCGCACGCCGCCCCCCGGCUCCAGCCGCCCCCUGCUCCUCCUGCAGCCCGGCCCCUGGGUGGGCUCACGGCCGCACGGCGCUGAGUUUUCCAUGGACACGGGGCCGGGACGACCCUCAGAGCCCAAAGAUGCCCCCAAAGAGCCCAAUCCCUCGGCGGUGCUGGCGGACGGGCACUACCCAGCGGCUCUGGCCAAACCUGAACCCCCCUCGGGCUGUCUGUGCCCCACCCCGGGCUGCCAUGGGUGCCCGGGGGUGCCCUUCGAGCCCACCUUGGGGCGCUUUCCGUGCCCACCCAGCAACCACACCAAGCUGAAGAAGACGUGGCUGACGCGGCACUCGGAGCAGUCGCUGCCCCGCUCCAAAGCCCCGCGGCGGGACGGGGGUCCCGAGCCCCCCGGCGAGGGAAAGCGCUCGGCCAAACGCCCCCACGGCCCCGCCGAGGGUCCCCGCACUGCCAGCGAGGGCGCAGCGGCGGCCAAAAGGGGCUCCAAGACCACGGGGGACAGCGAGGAGAGGAGGAUGGAGCUGGGGGAGGAAGGUGAGGAUGAGCAGGAUGCGCAGCGGGGCCGGGAGAGGGCGGGGGCAGCGCCCGAUCCCGAGGGAAUUUUGCAUCCCUGGCACCCAAAACACGAGCUGGGAACACGUGUGGGCUGUGGAACUGCUGUGUUAGGGCUUUUCCCGGGUCUGGCACGGACCAAAAUGUCUCUUUGGGGCAGCGUGGCACCCUCGGGUGGGAUUCCCGGGGGGCGGCAGCGCUGUGGUUGGGGCAGGGACUCCUCGGGGAGGUGUUGGCACCCCAGGCCUGACCUCCGAGCAGCUCCAGCCCUACUUUCCAGCCCUACUUUCUGGCCCAGUUUCCAGCCCCCGCCACAGCGUGCCUGUCAUAGGAUCCCGGAAUCCAGAAAUGCUUUGGCUUGGAAGAAACCCUAAAAAAGACCUAAAAACCCAUCCACCCCCUUGCCAUGCCCAGGGACACCUCGCACCCUCCCAGGUUGCUCCAAGCCCCAUCCAAGCUGCUCUUGGGCACUUCCAGUCCCUCCCAGAUGGGGCGGACGGGGCUCCACGGUGUCCCCAAGCCCUGCCCGGUGUCCCCAAGCCCUUCCCGGUGUCCCCAGAGCCGCCGAGCCGCUGGUGCCUGCAGAGCCUGCCCUGCACGGCGCUGCCCCCCAGCAUCCCCCGCUGCUGGGCCUGCGCCCCCCGCGCCCGGAGGGACCCCCAGGGUGAGGAGGAGGAGGAGGAGGAGGAGGAAGAGCACCCCGAGAGCAGCUGCAGGCUGCUGCACUUCCGCAGGUGAGUCCGGGGGGAGAUCACAGGGUUGGGGCAUCCAGCAGGACGUGUCAGGGGGCGGCGGAGCAGCUCCUUCUUUGGAAUGUCCCUUUUGUCACCCUGCUUUGGAAUGUCCCCUUCUAUCACCCCUUGUCACCCUUCCUUUCCAGUGUCACCCAACUGUUAGAGCAUCCCCUCCUGAAAGGACAUUCCUUCCUGUCACCCCACUUUGGGACACCCUCACAUGUCACCCUGCUUCACAACA